rnacentral:tRNA from 1 species
GUAAACAUAGUUUAACCAAAACAUUAGAUUGUGAAUCUAACAAUAGAGACUCGAGACCUCUUGCUUACC